rnacentral:lncRNA from 1 species
GGAACUGAAUAAAGAAAAAUAAGAAUGCGCACGUUCCCUGCGGCACAUCAACAAGAAAGAGAAAAUAAUGCAUGUUCAGAAAAGGCUGUCUAAUAUAACCUUUUCACGAUUCCAAACACGGUGGGAUUUCCACCAUAAAAAACUGGGAAUUACAAUAAGAACUAAAUAUGUUCGCAUGAAACCAAAGUAAACAAUUAAUCAAUAACCAGAAAAAAGCACGAAGAAAACUCUGAUAACAUGGACUUUCGAAUCUAUACCUGUACACAAAAUAAUAUCCCUGAUGGAGUAAACAGCCGAAUGAGACGGCGGCAUACUCACCUAAACCGGAGAAGCCUCAAAUUACGACAGCACUCCACCCCUCCACUCCUCCGCGAACCCUAGGAACAAUGAGAGUCGGCCAACAGAGUCUCCAUGCUCUGUACACCCAAAACCGCUUCCUCCUCAGGAAGAAAGGCCCCGAGGAGACGGCCCCGCAGUGGAGGUGGGGGAUAAGAGAACCUCCACGUUACCUACUCGCCGGAUGAGCGCCGCCGGCCAGCCCCGCCUCCGCGGGGAUGUGGUGCCGUCGCGGCCGCGCAGGCAGUGUGGGGUUUACAGAGAUGGCAGAGAAGCGACGGUCUCCGCA